UAUAAGCAACAAUAGCUAGGUAGGA
rnacentral:piRNA from 1 species